GUCAGUCUCGAUGCAGUGUAGAAACGGUGGACUUAGCAACACUCUGGACCAGAGCUAGACAAAGGACAGACAGAAGAGUGGCUCUGGUCCAGGGCUAGACAAAGGACAGACAGAAGAGUAGCUCUGGUCCAGGGCUAGACAAAGGACAGACAGAAGAGUAGCUCUGGUCCAGGGCCUGUUCCUCUACUAGGGGACUGAGUAACAACACUCUGGACCAGAGGUAGACAAAGGACAGACACAAGAGUAGCUCUGGUCCAGGGCUGAGGGGUAAUAUACAUGUAUAAAGUCAGGUCCAUGAACUAUGAUGUACCAGCUCAUAUACAUCAACAAUACAGGACCAAAAACAGUCAAAAUAUCAUUCAAGUGUCAUCAUUGAAAGCUAUAUGUUGUGAGAAGACAUUUUCAAAUGACUGUAGAGAGUACAGUAUGUAGGGAAUAUAACAUUACAGGAUGUAGAGUACAGUAUGUAGUGAAUAUAACAUUACAGACUGUAGAGUACAGUAUGUAGGGAAUAUAACAUUACAGACUGUAGAGUAGUGAAUAUAACAUUACAGACUGUAGAGUAGUGAAUAUAACAUUACAGACUGUAGAGUAGUGAAUAUAACAUUACAGACUGUAGAGUAGUGAAUAUAACAUUACAGACUGUAGAGUAGUGAAUAUAACAUUACAGACUGUAGAGUAGUGAAUAUAACAUUACAGACUGUAGAAUACAGUAUGUAGUGAAUAUAACAUUACAGACUGCAGAGUACAGUAUGUAAUGAAUAUAACAUUACAGACUGCAGAGUACAGUAUGUAGUGAAUAUAACAUUACAGACUGUAGAGUACAGUAUGUAGGGAAUAUAACAUUACAGGAUGUAGAGUACAGUAUGUAGUGAAUAUAACAUUACAGGAUGUAGAGUACAGUAUGUAGGGAAUAUAACAUUACAGACUGUAGAGUAGUGAAUAUAACAUUACAGACUGUAGAGUAGUGAAUAUAACAUUACAGACUGUAGAGUAGGGAAUAUAACAUUACAGACUGUAGAGUAGUGAAUAUAACAUUACAGACUGCAGAGUAGUGAAUAUAACAUUACAGACUGCAGAGUAGUGAAUAUAACAUUACAGACUGCAGAGUACAGUAUGUAGGGAAUAUAACAUUACAGACUGUAGAAUAGUGAAUAUAACAUUACAGGGAAUAUCUGACCAAACACAUUUCAGUUAGAAUGAACAUACAUUGUUCACCUUGUUGUAAACACGUCUUAAAAAAUACAAUUAUCAUGUAGUGCACUACUUUAUCAUGUAGUGCACUACUUUAUCAUGUAGUGCACUCAGGAUGCAUUGACAGAUGUCUUUAUCACAGACAGUACACCCUAUAAUACUGAUAUUAUUAGCAGUUUGUGUAUAUUCACACACUGUUAGACCAAAAGUUUCAGCCUCCAGGGAGGAUGUUUUAGUCAGAUUAAAACAGGGUGAGAACAACAAAAUAACUGCAAUGCAAAGUUAUAUAUAUAUACACACACACACACACACACACACACACACACACACACACACACACACACACAGUAUACUAAACAUUAGGAACACCAUGAUAUUGGGUCGUACCCCCCUUCCCCCUCAGAACAGCCUCAGUUCGUCGGGGACAUGGACUCUACAAGGUGUGGAAAGCGUUCCACAGGGACGCUGGCCCACGUUGACUCCAACGCUCCCCACAGUUGUGUUAAAUUAGCUGGGUGUCAUUUGGAUGGUGGACCAUUCUAGCCACCGUGCUUCUACACCUGCAUUGCUUGCUGUUUGGGGGGGUUUUAGGCUGGGUUUCUGUACAGCACUUUGAGACAUCAGCUGAUGUAAGAAGGGCUUUAUAAAUCCAUUUGAUUUGAUUUGAAACACAC
rnacentral:lncRNA from 1 species